UACGGGGGGUGCGAGCGUUGUCCGGAAUCACUGGGCGUAAAGGGCGCGUAGGUGGCCUGAUAAGGGUGUGGUGAAAGUCCGGGGCUCAACCCCGGAUCGGCCGUGCCGACUGUUAGGCUAGAGUACUGUAGGGGCAGGCGGAAUUCCGGGUGUAGCGGUGGAAUGCGUAGAGAUCCGGAGGAAGACCGGUGGCGAAGGCGGCCUGCUGGGCAGUUGCUGACACUGAGGCGCGACAGCGUGGGGAGCAAACAGG
rnacentral:rRNA from 1 species